GCAGGGAGUCUCCCAGCUGCAGAGCCCCAAGGAGGCAGGAGCCCAAUCUUCUGUGUUUGGCCCUCCACCAGGGGCCAAACAGACACCAGACACCUGGGUGGGAGCAGACAGCAGGAUGCAAGCACUGGAACACUGAAAAUACCAAACCCCUGUGAUCUGCGGGAAGCUGGAGUGAGCUUGGCUGGGGAGCAGGCUCCGAUGCCGACUGUGGCGAUGUCGUUUCCAUCAGCCCGUGAAAGACAACUUCAAAAACAAGCUCCAUGGUCACAGGACAGCAGCUUUGGCCAUUCCACAUUGUCAUUCAUUCCUGUCCCCCACACGCGUGCCUGACCAUACAGGAAAAUGAGUUUACAACCGACUACGCCUAUGGGACUCCCAGAGGGACACAAUGCCAGAGCCUUUACUAGUGGUGGAUGCAUCCUCAAAAGGUUGGAAAGUUUGAGAUCCAGUGGAGCCAAAUGAGUGAUCCAGUCUGGCACAUGUGGCUGACGUUGCAUGGACUAACGAUGGCACAGCAUGAAGCAGAACGGGUGACAGCAGCUGUAGCUUUUCAGCUCUGUGAGGAGUUUGGGCAGAGACGCAAGAACAUCUGAAAUGUGAAUUCUUAAUUCAUAUUUCAUACAAAUCCUUCAGCUUGUCUACACAAAAAGCUGCAGUAAAGGACAAUCAUCUCUCAUCCUAAAGCAACAGUUUUUCCUCUUCAGCUCAGGUGCCUCUUGCAUUGAGUAGCUGCACCUCACUGAAGAUCAGAAAACUCUAUUUUAAAGAGAGAAUUGUAUUUUAAAUUGUAAAAACCUCACAACACUGAA